GUGAGGGCAUUCUGGCUGUGACAUCUGUCACCCCACUGAUCAUCAGGGUUGGUCUGGCUGACCUGGCUGGCUAGGCGGGUGUCCGCUUUCCCCUCUCACCAAAAGAGUAUCCCUCUCAAAGCCGCAUGUUUGAAGAGGAUGAUCAUCUCCGAUAGAGGAGGACCCGUCUUUGGUCAAGAGUAUACCUCCAAACUUCCAAAUAAGUUCUCAAAACAUGUAAAGUACUUAGGAUUCAUGUAAAGUACUUAGCCCAGUACCCACCACGCAGUAUAUGAUAAACAAAUAUUAGAUCUUAUU
rnacentral:snRNA from 1 species